AUACUUACCUAGUGCCUGGGCCUCUUUGAUCACUGAGGACGAAACCUGAGGACGAGGCGCGGGCAUUGCACUGCGCUCGCGUUGACCCCUGCCACUACCCCAAACUGGGGCAUAUGGGGCAUGCAGAUUGC
rnacentral:snRNA from 1 species